GGUGAGAUGGCCGAGCGGUCUAAGGCGCCAGACUAAGGUGUUCAUUCCCAAUCUGGUCUCUUCGGGGGCGGGAGUUCGAAUCUCCCUCUCAUCA